AGCACACUUGAGAGAGCUGAGGCAAGCUACAAAGAGAACCGUCUGCCCUGAGGCAGAAGGCUUGACAGACAGGUACCUUGGAUACAAGGGCAAAUUCCAUGACUACCAUGGCUGACAAAAUGGACAUGUCAUUGGAAGACAUCCUUAAGCUGAACAAGAUGCAGCAAGGACGUCUUGACAGGCCUGAUUCCCGGGUGAAGCGAGGCACUGGGCCUAAGAGGUAUCGGCCAGCUUUCACCCAUGAUGGAAGGAACAGGCUGGCACCAUACUGCAGACCAAAACAACUUCCAGACAAGUGGCAGCAUGACCUAUUCAUUGGAGGCUUCAGGGGUCAAAACCACGUGGAUACUGGUGGGAAGCUGUUCCUGUCAAAUCUGCACUUCGGAGUGUCAGAUGCUGAUAUUCAGCUACUCUUUGCUGAAUUUGGAACGUUGAAAAAAUCUGCUGUGCACUAUGAUCGCUGUGGACGAAGUUUAGGGACAGCACAUGUGCACUUUGAAAGGAAAGCAGAUGCCCUGAAGGCUAUGAGAGAGUACAAUGGCGCCCCUUUGGAUGGCCGCCCUAUGAACAUCCACCUUGUCACCUCACAGAUUGAUAGACAAGGAAGACCUGCACUAAACAGUGAUAAGGGCGGCAUGACAAGAAACCCUGGCUCUGGAGUAUUAAGUGGUGGAGGCAACAAGAGAUGGACACUUGGAGGCAGCCAGGGAAGAGGGAGAGGCACCAGCAGGAACUCAAAACUGCAGCAGCAGCAGCAGCAGCAGCAGCAGCAGCAGCAGCAGCAGCAGCAGCAAGAGGAGCAGAAGCACCAGAAGCAGCAACAGCAGAAGCAGCAGCAACAGCAGCAGAAGCAGGGACAGAAUCACCAGCACCAGCAGCAGCAGAAGGAGAAGGAACUGCAGCAGCUAUCUGUAGAGGAGCUGGACGCCCAGCUGGAUGCUUAUCAGGAAAUGAUGGACACCAGCUAAACAACUGAGCAAAGCUGCACAACAACGGGACCCAGAGGCUGGUCUCUGAUGCCUAGACUGAGGGUUGGCUACUGGACCAUGAACACAAUGGUGGAUUCCUCCUUUGCUUCUUUUGCUUUUCUCCUGUUUUAAAACCCCAUGUAAAGUUCUUUCUUUCUCUCCUUUCUUUUAUUUACAUUCAGAAAUACACUUGUUUUGUACUGAGUUAUUUUGUGGGUAAAUUGUAGUUUUUGCUUUGGUGAAGUAGGCAUUUUCACCUUUGCCCUAAUAAAAUUGUGUGUGAAAUAAACAAGAGCACACUUGAGAGAGCUGAGGCAAGCUACAAAGAGAACCGUCUGCCCUGAGACAGAAGGCUUGACAGACAGGUACCUUGGAUACAAGGGCAAAUUCCAUGACUACCAUGGCUGACAAAAUGGACAUGUCAUUGGAAGACAUCAUUAAGCUGAACAAGAUGCAGCAAGGACGUCGUGACAGGCCUGAUUCCCGGGUGAAGCGAGGCACUGGGCCUAAGAGGUAUCGGCCAGCUUUCACCCAUGGUGGAAGGAACAGGCUGGCACCAUACUGCAGACCAAAACAACUUCCAGACAAGUGGCAGCAUGACCUAUUCAUUGGAGGCUUCAGGGGUCAAAACCACGUGGAUACUGGUGGGAAGCUGUUCCUGUCAAAUCUGCACUUCGGAGUGUCAGAUGCUGAUAUUCAGCUACUCUUUGCUGAAUUUGGAACGUUGAAAAAAUCUGCUGUGCACUAUGAUCGCUGUGGACGAAGUUUAGGGACAGCACAUGUGCACUUUGAAAGGAAAGCAGAUGCCCUGAAGGCUAUGAGAGAGUACAAUGGCGCCCCUUUGGAUGGCCGCCCUAUGAACAUCCACCUUGUCACUUCACAGAUUGAUAGACAAGGAAGACCUGCACUAAACAGUGAUAAGGGUGGCAUGACAAGAAACCCUGGCUCUGGAGUAUUAAGUGGUGGAGGCACCAAGAGAUGGACACUUGGAGGCAGCCAGGGAAGCGGGAGAGGCACCAGCAGGAACUCAAAACUGCAGCAGCAGCAGCAGCAGCAGCAGCAGCAAGAGGAGCAGAAGCACCAGAAGCAGCAACAGCAGAAGCAGCAGCAACAGCAGCAGAAGCAGGGACAGAAUCACCAGCACCAGCAGCAGCAGAAGGAGCAGCAGCAGCAACAGCAGCAGAAGGAACUGCAGCAGCUAUCUGUAGAGGAGCUGGACGCCCAGCUGGAUUAUUAUCAGGAUAUGAUGGACACCAGCUAAACAACUGAGCAAAGCUGCCCAACAACGGGACCCAGAGGCUGGUCUCUGAUGCCUAGACUGAGGGUUGGCUACUGGACCAUGAACACAAUGGUGGAUUCCUCCUUUGCUUCUUUUGCUUUUCUCCUGUUUUAAAACCCCAUGUAAAGUUCUUUCUUUCUCUCCUUCUUUCUUUUAUUUACAUUCAGAAAUACACUUGUUUUGUACUGAGUUAUUUUGUGGAUAAAUUGUAGUUUUUGCUUUGGUGAAGUAGGCAUUUUCACCUUUGCCCUAAUAAAAUUGUGUGUGAAAUAAACAAGAGGCAAGCUACAAAGAGAACUGUCUGCCCUGAGACAGAAGGCUUGACAGACAGGUACCUUGGAUACAAGGGCAAAUUCCAUGACUACCAUGGCUGACAAAAUGGACAUGUUUGGAAGACAUCAUUAAGCUGAACAAGAUGCAGCAAGGACUUCGUGACAGGCCUGAUUCCCGGGUGAAGCGAGGCACUGGGCCUAAGAGAUAUCGGCCAGCUUUCACCCAUGGUGGAAGGAACAGGCUGGCACCAUACUGCAGACCAAAACAACUUCCAGACAAGUGGCAGCAUGACCUAUUCAUUGGAGGCUUCAGGGGUCAAAACCAUGAGGAUACUGGUGGGAAGCUGUUCCUGUCAAAUCUGCACAUUGGAGUGUCAGAUGCUGAUAUUCAGCUACUCUUUGCUGAAUUUGGAACGUUGAAAAAAUCUGCUGUGCACUAUGAUCGCUGUGGACGAAGUUUAGGGACAGCACAUGUGCACUUUGAAAGGAAAGCAGAUGCCCUGAAGGCUAUGAGAGAGUACAAUGGCGCCCCUUUGGAUGGCCGCCCUAUGAACAUCCACCUUGUCACCUCACAGAUUGAUAGACAAGGAAGACCUGCACAAAACAGUGAUAGGGGCGGCAUGACAAGAAACCCUGGCUCUGGAGUAUUAGGUGGUGGAGGCACCAAGAGAUGGACACUUGGAGGCAGCCAGGGAAGCGGGAGAGGCACCAGCAGGAACUCAAAACUGCAGCAGCAGCAGCAGCAGCAGCAGCAGCAGCAGCAGGAGCCAGAGGAGCAGAAGCACCAGAAGCAGCAACAGCAGAAGCAGCAGCAACAGCAGCAGAAGCAGGGACAGAAUCAUCAGCACCAGCAGCAGCAGAAGGAGCAGCAACAGCAACAGCAGCAGAAGGAACUGCAGCAGCUAUCUGUAGAGGAGCUGGACGCCCAGCUGGAUGCUUAUCAGGAUAUGAUGGACACCAGCUAAACAAAUGAGAAAAGCUGCACAAGAACAGGACCCAGAGGCUGGUCUGUGAUGCCUAGACUGAGGGUUGGCUACUGGACCAUGAACACAAUGAUGGAUUCCUCCUUUGCUUCUUUUGCUUUUCUCCUGUUUUAAAACCCCAUGUAAAGUUCUUUCUUUCUCUCCUUCUUUCUUUUAUUUACAUUCAGAAAUACACUUGUUUUGUACUGAGUUAUUUUGUGGAUAAAUAGUAGUUUUUGCUUUGGUGAAGUAGGCAUUUUCACCUUUGCCCUAAUAAAAUUGUGUGUGAGCACACUUGAGAGAGCUGAGGCAAGCUACAAAGAGAACCGUCUGCCCUGAGACAGAAGGCUUGACAGACAGGUACCUUGGAUACAAGGGCAAAUUCCAUGACUACCAUGGCUGACAAAAUGGACAUGUCAUUGGAAGACAUCCUUAAGCUGAACAAGAUGCAGCAAGGACGUCUUGACAGGCCUGAUUCCCGGGUGAAGCGAGGCACUGGGCCUAAGAGGUAUCGGCCAGCUUUCACCCAUGAUGGAAGGAACAGGCUGGCACCAUACUGCAGACCAAAACAACUUCCAGACAAGUGGCAGCAUGACCUAUUCAUUGGAGGCUUCAGGGGUCAAAACCACGUGGAUACUGGUGGGAAGCUGUUCCUGUCAAAUCUGCACUUCGGAGUGUCAGAUGCUGAUAUUCAGCUACUCUUUGCUGAAUUUGGAACGUUGAAAAAAUCUGCUGUGCACUAUGAUCGCUGUGGACGAAGUUUAGGGACAGCACAUGUGCACUUUGAAAGGAAAGCAGAUGCCCUGAAGGCUAUGAGAGAGUACAAUGGCGCCCCUUUGGAUGGCCGCCCUAUGAACAUCCACCUUGUCACCUCACAGAUUGAUAGACAAGGAAGACCUGCACUAAACAGUGAUAAGGGCGGCAUGACAAGAAACCCUGGCUCUGGAGUAUUAAGUGGUGGAGGCAACAAGAGAUGGACACUUGGAGGCAGCCAGGGAAGAGGGAGAGGCACCAGCAGGAACUCAAAACUGCAGCAGCAGCAGCAGCAGCAGCAGCAGCAGCAGCAGCAGCAGCAGCAGCAAGAGGAGCAGAAGCACCAGAAGCAGCAACAGCAGAAGCAGCAGCAACAGCAGCAGAAGCAGGGACAGAAUCACCAGCACCAGCAGCAGCAGAAGGAGAAGGAACUGCAGCAGCUAUCUGUAGAGGAGCUGGACGCCCAGCUGGAUGCUUAUCAGGAAAUGAUGGACACCAGCUAAACAACUGAGCAAAGCUGCACAACAACGGGACCCAGAGGCUGGUCUCUGAUGCCUAGACUGAGGGUUGGCUACUGGACCAUGAACACAAUGGUGGAUUCCUCCUUUGCUUCUUUUGCUUUUCUCCUGUUUUAAAACCCCAUGUAAAGUUCUUUCUUUCUCUCCUUUCUUUUAUUUACAUUCAGAAAUACACUUGUUUUGUACUGAGUUAUUUUGUGGGUAAAUUGUAGUUUUUGCUUUGGUGAAGUAGGCAUUUUCACCUUUGCCCUAAUAAAAUUGUGUGUGAAAUAAACAAGUAUUCUAGAGUCAU
rnacentral:lncRNA from 1 species